rnacentral:rRNA from 1 species
UUGACCUCACAUCAGGUAGGACUACCCGCUGAACUUAAGCAUAUCAU